rnacentral:tRNA from 1 species
AAGAUUUUAAGUUAAAAUUUUAUUAAACUAUUAAUUUUCAAAAUUAAAAAUAUUUUUAAUAAAUCUUA